GGCAGUCGUUGAGUAGCAGCAGCCCGAGCCUGUGAGACGCAGCCUCCAGCCUUUUCAUCAAAAGACUGCACGGAGACCCUGAGAGAUUAAAAUGAAGACAAUCAAUGCCGUCACGUCCAUCUUAGCAUCUUUAUUUUUGGUGCUGAUCUUCAAUCCCUACACUGAUGCUGCAUCCGUGUCACCUUUUCAAUUUGAAGACCUAUCAAGCAGCUACACGGCAAUAUACGUCGCGGGGAGUUCAGAGGAGACUCACUACAAAUAUUGCACACGGAACGCCACAAUGAACAGCCCGGAAGAGUGCAAAGACGAGGUCGAACUGGAAAAAGAGUGCGGAUGUCGUCCUCAAACAGACAACGUAUUUGAUGACUCUUUCAGUCUCGUCGUCAUCAAGUGCAAUAACCCAAAAAUGGCUUACUGUCCCCGAAAAUUCGUUGUCAGCAUCCAGCAAGGUGCACUUUCAGAAGUCGAACACGCCAGUAGUGCCGACAGUACACUUAAAUUAAUGCUUAACAUUUUUCUGGCCCUGUCGAUGAUUUACAAUGUUGCAUGGUGCUACGUUGGAUGGCAUUUGUGGAAAAAGCAUUGUUCCAAAAUGCGUGAAACCAAUGGAGACCUGGCAAUUUAAUCCUAACCAAAGUGGUUACUUUUGCUAGACACACUGUUAUAUACGCGAUUUAACGUUUUCUUUCAAAGUCUCGUUCAGAGUAAUGUAAUUUAGGUAAUUUAUUGCCAAUUUCAAUACCGAAAGUCUUUUUCUCUCUGUUAUAC